ACGGAGGGUGCAAGCGUUAUCCGGAUUCACUGGGUUUAAAGGGUGCGUAGGUGGGUUGGUAAGUCAGUGGUGAAAUCUCCGAGCUUAACUUGGGAACUGCCAUUGAUACUAUCAGUCUUGAAUAUUGUGGAGGUAAGCGGAAUAUGUCAUGUAGCGGUGAAAUGCUUAGAUAUGACAUAGAACACCAAUUGCGAAGGCAGCUUACUACACAAUGAUUGACGCUGAGGCACGAAAGCGUGGGGAUCAAACAGGA
rnacentral:rRNA from 1 species